GUGUCUGUAUGUGUGUGUGUCUGUAUGUGUUUGUCUCUAUAUGUAUUUGUCUGUUUCAUACAGACACACACACAUACAGACACAUACAGAUUG